rnacentral:rRNA from 1 species
GCGAACCGGGGGAACUGAAACAUCUAAGUACCCCGAGGAAAAGAAAUCAACCGAGAUUCCCCCAGUAGCGGCGAGCGAACGGGGAGGAGCCCAGAGCCUGAAUCAGCAUGUGUGUUAGUGGAAGCGUCUGGAAAGGCGCGCGAUACAGGGUGACAGCCCCGUACACAAAAGCGCAUGUGCUGUGAGCUCGAUGAGUAGGGCGGGACACGUGGUAUCCUGUCUGAAUAUGGGGGGACCAUCCUCCAAGGCUAAAUACUCCUGACUGACCGAUAGUGAACCAGUACCGUGAGGGAAAGGCGAAAAGAACCCCGGCGAGGGGAGUGAAAAAGAACCUGAAACCGU